rnacentral:rRNA from 1 species
UACGAAGGGAGCUGGCGUUGUUCGGAAUCACUGGGCGUAAAGCGCACGUAGGCGGAUGUGUCAGUCAGGGGUGAAAUCCCGGAGCUCAACUUCGGAACUGCCUCUGAUACAGCACGUCUUGAGUCCGAUAGAGGUGGGUGGAAUUCCUAGUGUAGAGGUGAAAUUCGUAGAUAUUAGGAAGAACACCGGUGGCGAAGGCGGCCCACUGGAUCGGUACUGACGCUGAGGUGCGAAAGCGUGGGGAGCAAACAGG